rnacentral:rRNA from 1 species
AGAUUGAACGCUGGCGGCAUGCCUAACACAUGCAAGUCGAACGGGAGUAGCAAUACUCUAGUGGCGGACGGGUGAGGAAUACGUAGGAAUUUGCCCUUAAGUGGGGAUAACCCGGGGAAACCCGGAUUAAUACCGCAUGACCUCGAAAGAGCAAAGUGGGGGAUCGCAAGACCUCACGCUUUUGGAGAAGCCUACGUCGGAUUAGCUAGUUGGUGAGGUAAUGGCUCACCAAGGCGACGAUCCGUAACUGGUCUGAGAGGAUGAUCAGUCACACCGGAACUGAGACACGGU